rnacentral:rRNA from 1 species
GAUAAACGCUGGCGGCGCACAUAAGACAUGCAAGUCGAACGAACUUAACUCAUUCUUUUAGUUUGAGAGCGGUUAGUGGCGGACUGGUGAGUAACACGUAAGCAACCUGCCUAUUAGAGGGGAAUAACAGUGAGAAAUCAUUGCUAAUACCGCAUAUGCUCACAGCACCACAUGGUACAGUGAGGAAAGGAGUAAUCCGCUAAUAGAUGGGCUUGCGUCUGAUUAGCUAGUUAGUGGGGCAACGGCCUACCAAGGCGACGAUCAGUAGCCGAACUGAGAGGUUGAACGGCCACAUUGGGACUGAGAUACGGUCCAGACUCCUACGGGAGGCAGCAGUGGGGAAUAUUGGGCAAUGGGCGAAAGCCUGACCCAGCGACGCCGCGUGAAGGAAGAAGGCCUUCGGGUUGUAAACUUCUGUUGUAAGGGACGAAACAAAUAGACGGUACCUGUGGAGGAAGCCACGGCUAACUACGUG